AACGAACGCUGGCGGCGUGCUUAACACAUGCAAGUCGAGCGCGAAAGGGGGUUCGCCCCCGAGUAGAGCGGCAGACGGGUGAGUAACACGUGGGUAACCUACCCCAGAGCGGGGAAUAACAGUUCGAAAGGACUGCUAAUACCGCAUAAGACCACGUCCUUUAGGGGAUGAGGUAAAAGGCUUCGGCCACUUUGGGAGGGGCCCGCGUCCGAUUAGCUAGUUGGUGAGGUAAUGGCUCACCAAGGCGACGAUCGGUUGCUGGUCUGAGAGGAUGAUCAGCCACACUGGUACUUAGACACGGACCAGACUCCUACGGGAGGCAGCAGUGGGGAAUAUUGCGCAUGGGCGAAAGCCUGACGCAGCAACGCCGCGUGGGUGAAGAAGGCCUUCGGGUCGUAAAACCCUGUCAGAUGGGAAGAAACCUGCUUAAAGCAGCUGACGGUACCAUCAGAGGAAGCACCGGCUAACUCCGUGCCAGCCGCCGCAGUAACAC
rnacentral:rRNA from 1 species